CAACAGUUGCAGAGACAUCCUGGAUCUAUCUGGUUAUUUCUCCUGGGGUGGUGUCUUCUCUUGAUCUUCAAGUUCCCGAGGUGGAGGUAUUGAUGCUGGCUUUGCCUCAGGCCCGGAAGGUAGUUCAAUUCCUUUAUGUAGGUCCUCUCCGUGUGUAGCCAGAAAUUUAUCUCUCUCUUCCAAUGUUCUAAUUUUAACCUUUCUCGCUCUAAAGGUAAAAGAUAAUCCUUGGGGAAAAUCCCACCUGAAUGGAAUUGCGUUGCUCCUUAAUAGUUUAGCAAGUUCGGAAUAGGCGGCUCUAAGGUCCAACAGUUGUCUUGGGAUAUCUUUAUAUAUCUCAAUUCUUCUAUCCAAAACUUCCAGUGACUUUUCGUAAUGUAGGCCCAAAAUCUUAUCCCUUUCCUCCUUCGAUCUCAAUGUAAUCAAACAAUCCCUGGGCCUCUCCUUCUUUAUAAAUCUUCCAAGUCUGAAAGCUGACACAAUUUUAAAGUCCUUUUCUUCCAAAUUCCAGAACUUGGAAAGUUCUUUGGUCAAAAACUCAGUUAGAUUUCCUUCUUCUGCCUCUUGUAAUGAUCUAAUCCUCAAAUUAUUCUCACGAUUUCGCAGUUCUAUCAUAGAAAGAUAAGUCUGAUGUUCCCCAACUUGUUUAGUGAGUGGUCUUACCUCUUGCUCUAAAUUUUCCAAUUUUUGUCUGGUAUCCUCAGCCAAUUUUCGGUUUUCUACUGAGGCCUCCGUCAACUGUCCAAUUGCUUGUGUAUUCUGUCCCACCUGUGUAGUUAAUUUGUUUAGACAAUCUGUAUUUUUAUCAAUCUUUGCUGAUUGCGCAUCUACUUUCUUGUCCAAAGCUUCCAAUUUUUCAAAGAUUUUUUCUAGCACAGAAACAGAUGCUCCUGAGGCCAUAUCUUCCAAUUGUAACUGCUCUACUUCACCCUCUCCCUCUUUUGCCUGUAGCAAGGCAGCUUCUUCAAGUUGUACUUCUGAGGGCAAAGUAGGCACAGAUGAUCUACGUGUCUGCGAGGCUGAGGUUAGGUUUGUUAGAGUUGUUUGUCUAACUCUUCCUCUUCUUCUUGUACCACUCAUUCCAAUGUUAUCUAUCAGUCAAGGUCACACUGAGUUUUUCCCACAGGAAUAGAGAGGCCCAGAGCAAGCAGACAACAAGGGAAUCGAAAGUAAAUGUAUUUAUAAAGUCACUGUUUUAAUCCAAUCCUCUAGAGGGAGCUUAAAAUGUCUUUUCAGAGUCUGAUUUAAUGUCCCAGAACCUUCCAAUAUAAGUAUUAAGCAGAGUUUAAAAGUAAUCACUUUGUUGCAGACAGUGCUUAUUUGUCUCCAAAAAGAAUGUUUCAAAUUUAAAAGGUCUCAAUACCCUCAGAUUGUUGCAACUUCUAAUAUACAGUAUCCAAGUCAAACACUGACAGCCCACUGUUACAGUGCUCAAGCAAUCCUGACUCUGGGUUUCACCUUCCAAUUUGUAAUCCAAUAAAGGGGGAAAGUCAAGUGCAAAUAAAAGGUCCAAAUCUUUAACUUGCUAGUUUUACUUUAAAUUGUAAGUUCCAUAGAUGCUUGGCUGUGUAGAGUUUAAAAUCUCUUUCUUUCAGCCUCCACUCCUCCACCUUAGUUGCUUUUUUUUUUCCAAGUUCAAUGGCAGCGGAAGACGGACUUCCUGUUUCCACGUCUCUCCGCUUUCAGCCAAAUUCAAGUCAAUUUAAACCUUCUCAUUUAAAAUUUGUAAUUCCAAGUGAUUCAGUCUUUACUCACGAAUAAGUUGUUUUCUUCCAGGUCCGAAUUUUAACAGGAAAAGGGAUCAGCGCUCACCGGCAGCAGCAGCGCGGCUUCACUCCGCUGACUGUGAAACGGCUCACAGCGCCGCAGCCCCUCCACGCUCCGGAGCCUCUUACGAGGCUCCUUCUGCAGUUGGAGGGCUGCUCUUGGCGCCCGCCGAGCCUCAGGACCCCAGGCUCUUGCUGCCUGGGGUUUUUCUCGUUGGGUCUCCGCUUCGCCGUAGCGGACGACCCGAUUUCAGCGGAGCUUCUUCUCCCGUCGGGAGAAGACCGCCAUUACCGUUCGCGCCGCCCCCCGGAAG
rnacentral:lncRNA from 1 species